rnacentral:hammerhead_ribozyme from 1 species
AUCCAACUGACGAGUCCCAAAUAGGAUGAAACACGCGUCAAACUGGAU